UGCAGAUACAGUUUUUAAUGUAUCACAACAAUGAGCAACAAACAUACUUGAUGAACUAUUUCCAGAAGUUGUUCAAAUACCAUCUACAAUAAACGUCAUUUCAACUAUGACAACAGGUCUGUGACAAAAUAAAAAAAAGGUUUCAAAACCAUGUUAUUACCGUGAUACGGUACAGUUGAGACCUCAAACAGUACAGUAACAAAAACUAAUGCGACUACUCUCUAUAUAUAAAACAUCAAUAACAUUUUUGGUUUAGUUUAUUUAAAGUUUUAGCCAUAGGGGCUUCUUCUUAUUAAAACCUCAGGGUGCAUUUCCUAUGUAACCCAGAUGUUGUAGAGUACAUAUUGUGUAGGAUAUGAUUGCGCCAUGAAAAUCCCUUUGACAUCCAGAAGAGCAAUUCCAAUUUCAACCUUUUGAAGGCUGUCCCCAUAAACAUGACACAAUCCAUCCAUUAAAAAAAAAAAAAAAAUUCUUUUUUUUUUUCUUUUUGGCUGCUGUGCAGUUGCAAUAUAUAUGUACAGUUAUAUUGUUAGACCAUCCUUUUUGUUGGUUUCGUAGCUUUUACCAGUCCUUCAUGUGGGAAGUGUCCUGUCUGAUGCUAGCAUCUUAGCACAUGAUGCUAGCUGACAGUUCAGUCUUAUAAUGCUGAGCCACAAAGUGGGGAAAGGCAAAAACGCCAGAGUUGUGAAAGCCUUUGGAAUCAGGACAGUCGUUUAUGUUUGUACAAUGGCAGAAUUGCACCUUGGGAGGCCAGGAUGUCUCACAUGAAACACAAUCGAAAAGUGUCUUCAGGAAUAAAGUAAAUGUAAAACGCUAAAAAUCUAAAUAAUGACAUUUGAAAAGCUCACACAGAAAAUUAAAAACUGAUGUUUUGCUUAAAACUUUGAAAAAAAAAAAAAAAAACACCUUUACAAAUAUAAAACAUAGGAGGAAAUGUUACUUGAUUUCAUUGUUUGAAACAAUAACUAAGCAUGAUUUGAUUUAACCUGUCAAACAGUUGCAUUACAUGCUACUUGCUCAUUUCAGAAUAGGAAAUACCAAAAGCAAUACAUUUUUGCAUUUCUUCAUAUUAAUAAAUUUGUACCAUGCACAGCCAACUACGAAUAUGUACAACAGCUUAGCUUUCUUUGUUCACAAGCCUUUUUCUUUCAUACAAAUAGCCUUCUGUUACUUUGGAAUGAAUCACACUGGUUACCAAACUAGAAAGUGAUUCGUAAAAAAUUGAACACCCUUUGACAGCUUUCACAUUCUUAGUUCCACAGAAUAAUAAUAAUAA